AGUGAACGCUGGCGGUAGGCCUAACACAUGCAAGUCGAACGGCAGCACAGUAAGAGCUUGCUCUUACGGGUGGCGAGUGGCGGACGGGUGCGGAAUACAUCGGAAUCUACUUUUUCGUGGGGGAUAACGUAGGGAAACUUACGCUAAUACCGCAUACGACCUACGGGUGAAAGCAGGGGAUCUUCGGACCUUGCGCGAUUGAAUGAGCCGAUGUCGGAUUAGCUAGUUGGCGGGGUAAAGGCCCACCAAGGCGACGAUCCGUAGCUGGUCUGAGAGGAUGAUCCGCCACACUGGAACUGUAACACGGUCCAGACUCCUACGGGAAGCAGCAGUGGGGAAUAUUGGACAAUGGGCGCAAGCCUGAUCCAGACAUACCGCGUGGGUGGAGAAGGCCUUCAGGUUGGGAAGCCCUUCUGUGGGGAAAGAAAAGCAGCAGGUUAAUACCCCGCUGUUCUGACGGUACCCAAGGAAUAAGCACCGGCUAACUUCGUG
rnacentral:rRNA from 1 species